UCACCGGAUUCUUCGACUUGUCUGACGAAGAUGAUGAAGAUUUGGAAGACAUGGAUCCUGAACAAUUGGAAAGAUUGAGACAAUUGGCUGAAGCCGAGGAAGAGGAGGAAGAAGAUGAAGA
rnacentral:ribozyme from 1 species